rnacentral:rRNA from 1 species
CCCUGGUAGUCCACGCCGUAAACGAUGUCGACUUGGAGGUUGUGCCCUUGAGGCGUGGCUUCCGGAGCUAACGCGUUAAGUNCGACCGCCUGGGGAGUACGGCCGCAAGGUUAAAACUCAAAUGAAUUGACGGGGGCCCGCACAAGCGGUGGAGCAUGUGGUUUAAUUCGAUGCAACGCGAAGAACCUUACCUGGUCUUGACAUCCACAGAACUUNGCAGAGAUGCNUUGGUGCCUUCGGGAACUGUGAGACAGGUGCUGCAUGGCUGUCGUCAGCUCGUGUUGUGAAAUGUUGGGUUAAGUCCCGCAACGAGCGCAACCCUUAUCCUUUGUUGCCAGCGGUCAGGCCGGGAACUCAAAGGAGACUGCCAGUGAUAAACUGGAGGAAGGUGGGGAUGACGUCAAGUCAUCAUGGCCCUUACGACCAGGGCUACACACGUGCUACAAUGGCGCAUACAAAGAGAAGCAAUCUCGCGAGAGCAAGCGGACCUCAUAAAGUGCGUCGUAGUCCGGAUUGGAGUCUGCAACUCGACUCCAUGAAGUCGGAAUCGCUAGUAAUCGUGAAUCAGAAUGUCACGGUGAAUACGUUCCCGGGCCUUGUACACACCGCCCGUCACACCAUGGGAGUGGGUUGCAAAAGAAGUAGGUAGCUUAACCUUCGGGAGGGCGCUUACCACUUUGUGAUUCAUGACUGGGGUGAAGUC